ensembl:lncRNA
UGGGAGGAGAACUUUUCUAUUCUAAGACAGGAUCUUGGGUUAGCUCAACAGAUCAGGAAUGAUCAGGAGUAUAAGACUUUCUUUAUAAUACAGAACAUUUACCUUGGAUAUCAAGGAGUGGCCAAGGCUUAAUUUAAAAAAUGACUGCUGUAUCCUACUGCUCCCCUCAAAACCUGAAUUUUUCAAGGACAUCAGAAAAAGCGCUUAAGUAAUCCUUGGCUUUGGGCCAUGGGGUAUGGUGUGGUAAAGGGAAGAUUUUGGAAUCUCAUACUAGAAAGAUAAAAAGAGGAGUAUCAGAGUGGCUGCAAUCCAGCGCUCUGCAGAAAGGUGGAGGUGCAAGUUCAGGGAGUCAAAACUUCGGGAAGCUGUGGAGGGGACAGAGAGCAAGGGUAAAAAGCAAGCCAGCUUCUCCUCUCCGGGCAAAGGCAAGCCUCUAGCUCUUGGCACAAAGGCAUCUUCACUGUGGCCUGAUCUUGCCAGCGUCAAUUCUGAGAGACUCUGAAAGGGGUGAGACCAUCAAGGGAGUGACUUAUCAUGGCUCAGUUCCCAUGUCAAGGGGCUGAGUUGAGCUGGGAGCCUUGGUGUCACCCAACAAUCACUGCUGGUGGUGCUGUGAUGAUGUCACAGAGGAGCCCCACCCUGGUGUCCUCGGAGCUGGACCAAGGACCCAGAAGGAAAGUCCACCUUCCCAGCACAGCUGAGCCGUCCACCCUCUCGGCUACUUGUCAGGCUGACUACCAGCUCAAAGGGGUGAGCAGUAUCUGGACAGCUGGAAAUGCUGCUCUUUCAGUUUUCCUGUCCAGGGAGUGACAUACUACACAGGGAAGGAGGGCUGCAUUUGUUAAAAGUUCCCGGUUGUUUUCGUAGCGAGAACUAGUGUGCAUCUCACCCUGGAAAAUAGUCUUAGCAAUGUGAGAGUUUGAUUUAAUGAUCCGCAUUCCCAGAGAACUGUGCUGAUUUUAAAACUCAGCUAAACUGUCCAUGGAGAAAACCUAGCCCAAAGCAAACUCAGCAGAACAGAAGAGGACUCCCUUCUGAAAAUCGUAUUUCGUGGCUCUAAUGUGCACAUUUCUGAUAAGUUCAAUUUUCACAGUUUGUCUCCUCCUCUCCUGAUUUUUCCCUCACCCUAAAUGCUUGGCAGAAUCUGAGUGGAGGCAAGGGAAGGGGAAGUUUAGUCUGGCCCAUGGAUAGCAGGGUUUAAUUACCGUUCUGGCCCCCCAUCCUUAGGAGAAGAAAGUAACUUUCAAGACUUCGGUAGCAUAGGUAGACCACAGGAUAAAAAGAAUUGCCUGGGUCCACUCACAUACCACCCACUUAUCUCUAGAAAGAUGGGGAAGUAGCCUUGUGGGAGUUCUUCAGAACCUUUACUGGACCAUGGAUGCCUUUAGCACUGGGCUCACAGAGUUAUGGAUGGUUUUAAUGAAUUGCACUAAACACCUGGGGUUACAGAAAACAUCAACUGUAUUUUUUCCCAUUUUUUUAUUAGUACACAUUUGCAAUACAUGUGUUUCACAAUCAUCUUGGGGAGUAGGUACAUGUAUAUAAUACAGCUUCUUUUUAAAAUCCCCUUCCCUUUCCCUUCCUGCUCCCCCUCCUCCUGUAAUUCUCCUUUUCUCCUUUUCAUUCCUGUUGAUAUUAUUAAGCUUUGUUCAUGUUCAUGGCAUAUAAAGUUUGCAUUCAUUGAAGUUAUUAGGAUCAUGUACAGGGUUAUGUCUGUUGGGAUUUUACCUUUUUCAUUUCUAAUUGCAUUGAUGUGAGUCUUUUCUUUCUCUUGAUGAGUCUGCCCAAGGGCUUACCUAUUUUAUUUAUUCUUCCAAAGAACCAACUCUUUGACUCAUUGAUAUUUUUAUACCUUUUUUUUCCUCAAUUUCAUUGAUUUCUGCUUUCAUCUUUAUAACAUCCCUCAAUUUCAUUUUGGGACUGGAUUGUUGUUGUUUCUCAAGUAUCUUAAGAUCCUUCAAAAAAUUAUUUAUUCGUGGUUGCUCUAUUUUCCUAAUGUGAACACUGAUUGCAAUGAACUUUCUUCUUAGAACUGCUUUCUGCCCCCAGAGGUUUCAGUGAGUUUUCAGUCAUUAUCAGUAACUUCCAGAAAUUUUUUAAUUUCUUUUUUGAUUUCUUGUCACCCACCGGUUGUUCAGGACUGUGUUGUUAGUUUUCCAGGAGCUUGUACUUUUUCUGUGAUUUCUUCUGUCAUUUGCUUUCUAUUUUCAUUGUUCAAUCGUCUGAUAAUAUGCAUGGGGUAAUUUCAAUUAAUUCAAUUAAUAUUUACUUCAGCAGGCUUUGUGGAAUAGUAUGUGAUCUAUUUAAAAAAAAAAAAUGCCAUGCGCUCCAGAAAAGCAUGUAUACUCUGUUAUAGAGGGCUGGAAUACUCUGUAGAUGUCUAAUAAGUCCAUAUGUUCUCAACUAUAUUGAAAUGGUUUUUAGGGUUGUUGAAGGGGAGGAGCAUCCCAGGACCCUAGGUUAAGAGCUGCCCUAGAGUUGGUAGAACAGAAACAGAAAAGAGACCAGCAGCCAGAGUAAAGGUGGAGGGACCAGGACACGCUGCCACAAAUCCACAGAGAGGCCUGCACAAUCCAGAAACAAUGUCAACGGACGAUAUGAGUAAGCCUAGCAACCCCAAGACCCCUGAGCCCAAGCACUGUGAUCCCAGGUGUGAACAGAAGUGUGAGUCCAGCUGCCAGCCCAGCUAUUUAAAGAAGCUGCUGCGAGGCUGCUCUGAAAAGUGCUCACGCGAGAAGUGUCCUCCACCUCCAGAGUGCCCGCCGGCCGUGCCCCCCCAAGCCCUGCUCCAAGCCUUGCCCUCCUAAGUGCACCCCUGCCUGCCCACCCCCAGAGUGAGGCACCAUGGUUGCCACCACCAUGCCGCCACCACGGCCCCGUACGACGCCUGCGGCUGGAACCCAAGCCCUGACCUGACGAGUAAAGGUGACUUCUGCUGCGCAUGGCCUCCCAGGGUCCUGGGGGGUUUGCUUUCCUCCGUCGUCAUCGUUUCAGAGCAUGGAAGCACCAAGAACCAAUCCCUAAGGAGCGAGUGGGACCAGAGUUCCAGACCUCCACUACCAAAGCCCUUCGAGUCCCCGCUGCCCUCUGUCCCUGUCUGCUUCUUAGAGGAAGCUGCCCGUCCUGCAGAGUGCAUCGCAGGAGCACAGGCCCCUGGGAGAACAGUGAACAUGGCGGCAGCUGGGAAAAUGCAGGAACCCCAGGGAGUGAAACGUAGAGGGCCUGAGAGGAAAAGCGGAGGCGGACUUUAGCAAACUCUUAGUACGGUAUCCUAAUGGCUAUGCAGAUGGCUCUGAGAACCCACCGUGUGGGUUUAAACUCUAGCUCUGUUUCCUAGCAACUUUGUGAUUUAUGCAAGUUAUUUAAUUUUUCUGUGCCUCAGUUUCCUUCUCACUGCCGAAGUUGCAGCACUGUUCUGAGACUCGGAAGCUGACAAAUGCCUGGUGCACAGGGUACUGGAACAUAGGGGUACUGAGUGGAGGGAGUACCCUACACUUGGCCGGGCCUAACACUCACACAACUUAAUUGCCUGCACUUUUCUUCCUCGACGAAGUGUAAGACUCCUGAGCACACCGGUCAGGCUCUAAUACAACCCGCUAGACCCAGCUGGACAGUCUCACAAAAAUAGAAAAGGAGUUGUAUCCAUUCCUUGGGUUUGAUGCUGAGCUAUCCAAUGAUGUAACGUCACUAUUGAGAGGGUCCCAGUGAAAGGGACACAGGAGCUCUACUUUGCAGUUUUCUGUAAAUCUGUAGUAUUUCCAAAUGAAAACUUAGAUACAAAAAACUAGAUAUGUAUGUGGGGGGACCCCGUUAGGAAUGGACAGAGAGAAGGCACUCACAGCUAACACCUUAGUGGGGAUUAUUUACAAAGAGCUAGAGUCCACAUCAGACUGGCUUAAUUCACAAGAGGGAAUUUACUGGCUCAUGUUGCUGAGGAUAUGCAAGAGAGACAUUAGCACAGAGAACUGCAGCAACAAGGAAGCCCUUCAGGGGAUGGGUACGCAGAUUGCUCCUCCAUUUUAGUCUCUCUCAGCGCCCUGAGAUAUAUCCCACCCUCUCCUAAUGUCUCCCCCUGUGCACAAAUUGGGUAUGAGGACACUCCAGUUGUCUCCAGGAAAGGACACUGGUGGCCUAGAAGGUCAUGUGCCCACCCCUUUAGGCAAGCAGAUGACAGAGCUCUGCCAAGCAGAUCAACCGAGCUAUGGAUUAUUACAGUCCACAGUAUCUAAAUGGAAGUAGGUUUAGCAUUCUCUACAGUCAUAGGAAGAGGUCAUAAAAAAGGUCAGCUCUGGGAUGUUCUCCAAAUCAUGGCAUAUCAACAGCUCCAUCCUCCUCAGGCUAGAGGACGGUUCAGGCAACAGAGGGUAUGGCAAGUACAGAGAGUUCAAACUAUGCCAAAAAAAAAAAAAAAAAAGAUACCAGAGACCCCCUUUAAGACCCAGGCCUUGUCAUCAGCUAGUUACAGAUGUAGGCCAUUAGAAGAGGGAGCAAGACAAUGACUUUAGGGGUCCACCUCCUCAUUUUUCAAAUGUGAAAACUAGUGGUUACUUGUCUAAUGUGAAGAUGACUUGAAACCUCAGGGUCUCUAGGACAGGAUGAAAGCCUGAUCCUAGGAUCUCACACUCCAGAGCUCUGUACAGUACUGUCUGCUGGAGGCCAAGAACCACUAGAACCCCAUGUCAGAGCCAUGCGGGCUAUGGUGGAUGGCCGAUGACCACAGGAAAACCCUCCCACCUCACAGGAGAUCAUAAAGAAGGAAGCAAAAGGCUGAAGGUGAAGCUCAGAGUACAGCAAUUGCCUAACAUGCACAAAGCCCUGAGUUUGAUCCCCAGCACAGGGGAUAAAGAGGAACAAAAAGGAAGAAGGGGAAGAAAGGAAGGGGGAGAGAAUAAUGUGACACCCUUUUGCAUCUAUUAAAUGAUCACUUUCAAUUAAUAAGUCCCAGAACUCCCAUGUGAAAAUUGUGUCACUGUCAGUUGGAAUAUAAAUAAAUAUCAUUUUAGGAAACAAUUUGUCCAACAAGAUAAUAGACAUCAAAGGCAUGAAGUGAUUCACUAUUUUGACUCAAAGGAUUUACUUUAUAGAACUUAGGGCCAAAAAAAAUUUCUAACUGGGAAGAAAAAAUAAUUGCAAAAUGGGAGGAAAUGCUGUAUAAACAAAAGUGAUCAUCAUAGUAUAACUUUAAAAAUUCCAAUAUCUAACAAUGCAUGAUUAAAUGAACACGAACCUAUUACUCCAUGGAGUAUUACAGUCAUUUAAAAUGUACUGAAGAGGGGAUGUGGCUCAGUGAUGGAGUGCUUGCCUUGCGUGCAGUAGGCCCUGGGGUCCAAUCUCCAGCAAGAAAAGAAAAAUGUACUGAAGAAAAAAAAAGCUCACUUGAAUGUGCAUCAUAAAACAAUUAUCUGUAACAAAAAGCUUCAAUGAAUAAAAAUAAUAGAAAUUAAUUUGUGAACAUUCUAUGUUAGCAUAAUGGGGUGAUGAGUAAUGAUUACUUUUAUUUUUACUGGUGUUGUUAAUAUGCUUUUAUUUUAUAACAGGAAAAAUAAAUAAUCAUGAAAUAAUAAUUCAUUAAAUAAGUAUGAGCACUUCAGAGACCUCCCCAGAGUUCCCGGAAGACUUUAGCAGAGUAUCUCAGGGGACGUGCACCAUGCAGAUGGCACCUCACUUGGGUGCCUUCCGCCUGGAGUACCACUGCCG